rnacentral:tRNA from 1 species
GGUGGGGUGGCCGAGUGGUUAAAGGCAGCAGACUGUAAAUCUGCCCGCAUUGCGUACGUAGGUUCGAAUCCUACCCCCACCACCA